rnacentral:rRNA from 1 species
UACGUAGGGGGCAAGCGUUGUCCGGAAUCAUUGGGCGUAAAGAGCGCGUAGGCGGCCUUCUAAGUCGAACGUGAAAUCCCCGGGCUCAACCCGGGAACUGCGUCCGAUACUGAAAGGCUUGAAUCCGGGAGAGGGAUGCGGAAUUCCAGGUGUAGCGGUGAAAUGCGUAGAUAUCUGGAGGAACACCGGUGGCGAAGGCGGCAUCCUGGACCGGCAUUGACGCUGAGGCGCGAAAGCCAGGGGAGCAAACGGG